UGGAUAGGGCUGGGCAGUCUGAUUCUUUCACAUCUAAGACUAAAUAAUAGACAGCUGCAGAUUCCUGAGGAAUACCAGAAGAACAACAUAGACAGGGCAUGAGUGGGGAAGGGGCAGAGAGAGAGGGAGACACAGAAUCCGAAGCAGGUUCCAGGCUCUGAGCUGUCAGCACAGAGCCCGACACGGGGCUCGAACUCACGAACCGCGAGAUCAUGACCUGAGCUGAAGUCGGACGCUCAACCAACUGAGCCACCCAGGCGACCCGCAAUCUCUUUAUUUCUUAAAGAGAAUUCCUGCUUCUCUCCAAAUCAUCACAGAUGUCCUACCUUUGUGUCAUUUGAUCUACUUCUUUUGAAUAAAUAGCUUCAAAGAGUUACUUCCAAA